GGGGCUAUAGCUCAUUUGGUAGAGUACUUGCAUGGCAUGCAAGAUGUAAGCGGUUCGAAUCCGCUUAGCUCCA
rnacentral:tRNA from 1 species